UUGCUUUGCCAGUACAUAUAAUAAAAUUUGAACGAUUCAGAGAAGAUUAACAUGGUCCCUGUGUAAGAAUAACAUGCAAAUUCAUGAAGCAUUUCAUAUUUUU
ensembl:snRNA U6 U6 spliceosomal RNA